UACGGAGGAUGCGAGCGUUAUCCGGAUUUAUUGGGUUUAAAGGGUGCGUAGGCGGGCUUUUAAGUCAGCGGUAAAAAUUCGGGGCUCAACCCCGUCCGGCCGUUGAAACUGGGGGCCUUGAGUGAGCGAGAAGUAUGCGGAAUGCGUGGUGUAGCGGUGAAAUGCAUAGAUAUCACGCAGAACUCCGAUUGCGAAGGCAGCAUACCGGCGCUCAACUGACGCUCAUGCACGAAAGCGUGGGUAUCGAACAGG
rnacentral:rRNA from 1 species